rnacentral:tRNA from 1 species
CAACAAAUAUUUUAAUAAAAAUAUUAAUUUUGGGUAUUAAAGACGUGGAGAUUUUCUACUUUGUUGA